UCUUGAAAAAAUUCUAAAGAAGAUGGCGGAAGCUGGGUUUGAACUUGAUCAAUCCCCAGCUGAAAUGGUUCGUUUUGAUAGACAAAUUAGUUUUGAAAUUGCUGAUUCCAUUUCUGCCUUACGACCACUAUGCCUCUGCUGAUAGAAGAUGUUUGCGCAAUGAAAGAUGCUGAACAAAAAUCUGGUGAAAGGGGGCUAGAACUCCUCGUAGGGAGAUCUUACCCGCUGGUCAGAAAAUUGGGAUCCCUUCCACAUUGUUAUUGGAAUUGAUGGAGGAAGAAGUGGAAUUCUCUAGGAAUAAGUUUGCUGGGAGUCAAGCUGACCGGGCUGUGAAGGAAGAAGCUUACUGAAAAGCUGAAGAACACAAAAAUUAUAGGUGAUGGUUAUUUCUUUGCUUUAUGUACGUUUCGUUUUCUAUUUGUAUCGACUGACUUUGCAGAUAAAAGUGGGAAGAAAGAACGAGCAGCUAAAUCUGCAGGUGAAACCAAAACUAAAGGAGCUGCUGCUGUGGAAAAGGAAGUAACAAUCGACAGACUUGAUAUCCGUGUUGGGGUUAUCAAGGAAGUUCAGAAACAUCAUGAUGCUGAUUCUUUGUAUCUGGAAAAAAAUGAUGUCGGUGAAGAACCUAUAGGACUGUCGUUAGUGGUCUUCUCAAAUAUAUUCCUCUUGAAGAGAUGCAGAACCGCAAGGUUUGUGUUCUCUGCAACCUAAAGCCAGCAACCAUGAGGGGAAUUAAAUCACAAGCUAUGGUUCUUUGUGCUUCCACUAGUGAUAACGUUGAAUUUGUGGGUUUGACGGUGAGCCGGAUGAUGUUCUAAACCCUAAGAAGAAGACGCUGCAAGUGGAUCUACUACAUUCAGACAAGAAUCUUGUAGCCUGCUAUAAAGAUCUGCCAUUCACAACUUCUGCAGGUGUUUGCAAAGUUUUAUCAACAUCCGAUGGGUGAAUUCGAUGAACGCUUGUGGGACUAUGCUUUGCAUUUUUGCCAUCUGACGUUGUGUUUGUUUUAUUCAUCUUUGCUACAACACGAGUCUGGUGUAAUAGGUGAUUGAUGUUGGAUUUAGAACUUAUUGGGAUUUUGUUUUAAGAACUUAUUAAUGUUGGAUUUAGAACUUAGUUUGACUUGAAAUUAGUGCAUGGUUCAA